CGGGCUGUAGUUCAGUCGGCUAGAACGUGCCCAUGGGGUGGGUGAGGUCGCCGGUUCAAGUCCGGCCAGCCCGACAA
rnacentral:tRNA from 1 species